CACACACACACACACACACACAUACCACACACACACCACACACACACACACAGAGACAAACAGAGAGAGAGAGAGAGAGAGAGAGAGAGAGAGAGAGAGAGAGAGAGGCCCUUGGUUUUGGUUUUCAAUGUCUUUCUUAACCUACCCCCAGAGUAUGACCUGGGUUUACAAAGCCAGAGUUUGUCCCAGUAGUGACUGGAAAAGCUGAGUCACCACUGGGAAAGAGGCCAUUCCUGUAGCAGAUGAGGAGACACCCCAGGCUAACCCAUCCCAGGACUGGAGCACCUCCCCUGGCCUAUCCCCUCCCACGGUGGGUCACUAAGUUCUCUUCAUGGCUGAAGAGACAUUAGUGGCACUUGUUGAGCGUGUUGCUGUUGGAUGUUGAUUUUAUCAAGAAGCCACCAGACAACAUCUGACAUGCCUUUGCCCCUCACCUGCUCACUCGAAGGUUAUUUUAAACCAGAGCUUAAUUUUUAAGAAAUCCAUAAUGAAUCUUUUUUUAAUCUCUUAAUCCUCUUGCCUAAUUCUCUUUUACAUUAAGGGAUUAAAUCCUGGAGAGGAGAUGUGGCCAAACAGUGACUCAUUCUUCCUUCAGCAUGCUGUCCCCAGAGGCAGAUAGAGAGAAGGCACGGGUGGUGCACACGGCUCAGCUCGGAAAUCACCAGAAUCUGGGCCCAUUUAUUCCAACUUCCCUUUCAUGGUAUGGAAGAAUUCGUCUUUUAGGAAUCCUCAUCUUGCUGCUGUCGUAUCUACCGUGGAGUAUUCUAUCAUGAGGCUGAUCUUGCUAGCUCAUGGUCAUACACAGUCUGCCCUGUGCUGCUUGGCUCAUGGUAGGCUGGGCCACACUGAGUCAUUUGAAAUAUGGCCCAGUCCCCUGAGAGCCUACUCAUUUGCCUGGUGAUGGACCAGGGUUAGUGAAGAAGCCGACUCUGGGGCCCAUGGAGAGGGGCUGGCCCUGGUUCACUCUGGUCCCCAAAGCAGCUGAGAAGGAUGACGAGAGGCCUCCAGCUGGCAGAAUAGAGCCUGGGCAAGUCCAUUCUCACUACAGAACCUGGGAAAGGUUUAACCACGUGAUCUGCUUUAGCCAGUGCAGCAUUUACGGUCCUGGCAUGAACACAGACCUGGACUGGACCAGACUGGCUAGUCUGGUUUGGCCUCUGGCUGCUGUUUCCACUCGGUCAGGCCCAUGAAGCUGAUCUGAGCCGGUCCUCAAGCCUGAGACAGAGUACUAUCAACCUGGGAGAAAGAAAACAAACGCAAGCAGGUGGAGCUUGCCUGCCUGCCAUUUGGCAGCCACAGCCAUCUAAGAACAGGAGUCUGAAGUCUGAGGGCAGGGCGCUCAGAAGAGGUGGACAGGCAGCGGUGCUUCCCUCCCCUUUCCCCUCCCCUCCCCCACUCUCCCCUCCCCUUCCCUCUCCUCUUCCUUUCUCCCUGGCUCUUGUUUUCUCCCUUGCUCCCCCGCCCCACACUCCCGCUUUCCUGUAU
rnacentral:lncRNA from 1 species